CAGCUGCUGAUUUCUUGCUCUGCUUCAUUAAAUAUUUAAAGCCUUUUAUGUCACCCUCUUCAAGUCCUUUACUACAUGGAGCAAAGCAAGCGCAAACUAUAUUAGGAAUCAACAUUCAUGCUUGGAAACAGUCCAGAAACAAUAUUGUAGUUUCUUUGACCACACAGGGAUGUUUGCCUUAGGAUCAUCGGAUAACUCUGCGUAAAAUUUCAAAGUGCGCACCUCCUGGGGAAGACGGGAAAGAAUCCAUGUGCCAUAAAUUACUCUGUGCCGCUGCACCUCGUUUCUAUUUCAUUAUUCAUUCAUGUUAUCUUGUCUCAGUGAAAGAUAGAGGCCAUUACUGUGAAAUGAGAAGCAAAAGAACCUAACUCCAUUAACAGAAUUUAUGCUCCAUUACGUCCGCUUAUUAAAUCAAACCAAAGCAGAUAGUCGGACAUUAAGUAACUGCUGUUAAAUCAGAGAAAAUCUGAUUUAAGGAAAAUGAGAGCUGAGCAUUUUGGUAUUCUCAGUUCCCAGACUUGACGCUUGAGGCAGUUUAGAUUCUGAUAUUCUUCACUCAACGUGUUUCCUUUGUUUUGGCGAGGAGCUCGCACGCUGUCUACGCUCCAGGAAAACAUAGAGCUACAAUUAAAGGCAAGGUGAUAAAAGAGCCUCAGCUUGCUCCUCUGAGGCUGGUUCAGCAUUUUAACUGCACCGCGUUAGAGUUUGGUCACGAAAAGGUUCUCAGUGAUAGGUUUGAUACUUCUGCAUGUGAAACAUCUUAAAGCAGAAUAAUCUAAUUAGAGCUGGCAAACUGUGACAAAACACAGCAGUUCAUAACAUAAAUGCAUUCCUGGGGAAAUAUAAGCCAUUUAACUGGAGUGCAGCCUCACUUUUCACCCUGAGAAACCCCGUCUCCCAGGAAUUGGCUAUUUAAAAAAUCCAGCAUCGGCACAUUUACAGAAAUGAAGUUUUUUUUGUCAGAUUACUUUCAUCGUAAAUCAAAAAAUGAUUCCAAAAGAAGCAGAAAAAAAAAAAAAAAAAAAAAAAAAAAAAAAAAAACAACCAUAGCUUACAUGUUCCACUUCAAGCAUUUUGGUCAAUUUUGAUGGUUUACUGAAGCCUGAGAAUACUGUUUCCUAGAAUAUUAUGUGAGACCAAUGAAAAUAUUUUUUUAAGUACAAAAGACGCCAUGUUUUUUCCUACACAUUGUUGCACCUAAGCAUAAGAAUUAGGUGUACAAGAUAACUUGUAUUUUGAAGCAAAGCUCAUGCAAGUAACUUAAAAAGAUUCAGAAGUUGUUGACAGCGGCUGGCAGCACAUAAACGUAUCCAGGACACUGGAUACACUCCAUUCACUGUGUUGAGCCGCUCCUAGGCCAGAAACAUAAAUGUCUUACCUGGGCCGAAAUGGAAUUUGGGAAAAUGUUGCUCACUGCUCUAAAGUUUUCUUUUCAGGUAAAAGUAAUUUAGCAUCCUGUUUUAAGUCCCAGAGUUUAGGAAGUUUGAGGUGCAGAGGGAAGUUUUCCACAGUCAGUGAUUGUUUGAGGAGCAAUGUUAUCUGCUGCUGCUGGUCCACUGCGAUUUAUCAAGUUUAGAGCAUGUCAUGUUUCCAUCAGCUGACAAACUUUAUAGAAGUGAUCAUUUCCUUUUCUAACACGAGUUAGCCCCUUUUCACACUGCCAAUAGUACCAAUAUCUGAUUUAACAACCACAGUAAAUUAGAUAUUGAUAGACCAGCAAACUGGCCUGACAUCAUUUAUUAAAUAAUCUUUGAAGUAUUGUCAUGACAAACCAGAGUCACGGGCCGAUCAUUUUCUGUCAUGAUCAGUGUUUCUGUGUAUUUAUUUUUAAGGGUUUUCUGUGUUCAGUGUUUCAGUUUUUAGCUGUGUGCUAACUCUCUGCUGUACUGCCUGUUCUGGACUGUUGAGUUUUCUUCAUUAAAUCUAUCAUCUUUAUCA